rnacentral:rRNA from 1 species
UACGUAGGGUGCAAGCGUUGUCCGGAAUUAUUGGGCGUAAAGAGCUCGUAGGCGGUCUGUCGCGUCUGCUGUGAAAACUCAGGGCUUAACCCUGAGCUUGCAGUGGGUACGGGCAGACUAGAGUGCUGUAGGGGAGACUGGAAUUCCUGGUGUAGCGGUGAAAUGCGCAGAUAUCAGGAGGAACACCGGUGGCGAAGGCGGGUCUCUGGGCCGAUACUGACGCUGAGGAGCGAAAGCGUGGGGAGCGAACAGG